GGUGGAUCAGACUUUGGAGCAGGUGAUCCUUGGACGCCCACAGUACAUCACCUUCAUGAGCGCAUCAGUGAACACCAGUCUAAGGAAGACAUCUCUGAACGUAAUUUUGGAGAUUUUGAUGAGUUCCAUUGAAACAAGGAGGAAUGUGAUGUCCAGUAUCAGUUCUGCAGACCCAAGGACAAAGAAAAUUCUGUGAUAAACUCAUCCAGUGUGACUGUAAUGUGGGUAUCUAUUUGAUACCUCCAAGUAACUGUUUAUUCUUGUGCCAGUUGAGUAGAUGGUACGGGCCAGUUGGUGUUGAUUAGUGAACCACGGACAAAGGGCAUAUGUCACAUGAGUUGCUCCUGGAUAAAGUCACCCAGUCACUUCCUGAUGAAUAUCCUGCAUAAACUCCAAAGACAAAAGAGAGUUAAGGUUGUUUUUCUCACCUUAGACCAGGCAGUGAUAGAAGAACUGGGGGAAGAGAUAAUUGUAUUUAUCUUGGUGAGGGUGACAAAUCAUGGCAAAUGAGCAAAAUGAAAAAGGAUACAAGACACCGGACUUUCAAAUCAACAAUUGUUUCAAAAGACUCCUACUGGAUUCCUGCUAGUGAUGGGAGAAAAUUAUCAUUCUGCCCUGCUGGAAAUUUUCCAUGCUCUUCAUUCGUUCUCCUGUAUUUCCUAACGCCAAUAAAAGAGGAGAUCCCUGAGGACACGCCUCUCUUUAAUAUCUGCUUUCCUUGCAAAGAUAAGCCAAAGACCAAUAGCACAGUGGCUCACCCCUGUAACCCCAGCACUUUGUGAGGCCAAGGCGGGCAGAUCAUGUCAGGUCUGGAGUUUGAGACCAGCCUGGGGAAACCCCGCCUCUACUAAAAAUACAACAGUUAGCCGGGCGUGGUGGUGGGCACCUAUAAUCCCAGCUGAGGAAGGAGAAUCGCUUGAAUCAGGGGGGCAGAUGUUGCAGUGAGCUGAGAUCGUGCCACUUCACUCCAGCCUGGGCGAAAGGGUGAAACUUCAU
rnacentral:lncRNA from 1 species